rnacentral:pre_miRNA from 1 species
UUGUAACACGAACCGGUGCUAAAGGGUCCCUGCCCCGACAGCACCUGUCAGUUGCCGUUGGGCAGGACCCUUUAGCACCGGUUCGUGUUACGAA